rnacentral:rRNA from 1 species
UACGUAGGUGGCAAGCGUUGUCCGGAUUUACUGGGCGUAAAGAGCGCGCAGGCGGUCGUGCAAGUCGCGUGUGAAAGCCCCCGGCUCAACUGGGGAGGGUCACGCGAUACUGCUCGACUCGAAGGCAGGAGAGGGAAGUGGAAUUCCCGGUGUAGUGGUGAAAUGCGUAGAUAUCGGGAGGAACACCAGUGGCGAAGGCGACUUCCUGGCCUGUUCUUGACGCUGAGGCGCGAAAGCUAGGGGAGCAAGCGGG